rnacentral:rRNA from 1 species
UACGGAGGGAGCUAGCGUUGUUCGGAAUUACUGGGCGUAAAGCGCACGCAGGCGGCUUUGUAAGUUAGAGGUGAAAGCCCGGGGCUCAACUCCGGAACUGCCUUUAAGACUGCAUCGCUUGAAUCCAGGAGAGGUGAGUGGAAUUCCGAGUGUAGAGGUGAAAUUCGUAGAUAUUCGGAAGAACACCAGUGGCGAAGGCGGCUCACUGGACUGGUAUUGACGCUGAGGUGCGAAAGCGUGGGGAGCAAACAGG